AUGCAAGUCGAGCGCUCGUAGCAAUACGAGAGCGGCAGACGGGAGAGUAACACGUGGGAACGUACCCUUCGGUUCGGAAUAACCCAGGGAAACUUGGGCUAAUACCGGAUACGUCCGUAAGGAGAAAGAUUUAUCGCCGAAGGAUCGGCCCGCGUCCGAUUAGCUAGUUGGUGAGGUAAUGGCUCACCAAGGCGACGAUCGGUAGCUGGUCUGAGAGGAUGAUCAGCCUCACUGGGACUGAGACACGGCCCAGACUCCUACGGGAGGCAGCAGUGGGGAAUAUUGGACAAUGGGCGCAAGCCUGAUCCAGCCAUGCCGCGUGGGUGAUGACGGCCUUAGGGUUGUAAAGCCCUUUCGGCGGGGAAGAUAAUGACGGUACCCGCAGAAGAAGCCCCGGCUAACUUCGUGCCAGCAGCCGCGGUAAUACGAAGGGGGCUAGCGUUGCUCGGAAUCACUGGGCGUAAAGCGCACGUAUGCGGGUUCUUAAGUCAGGGGUGAAAUCCU
rnacentral:rRNA from 1 species